GUGGGGAAUAUUGGACAAUGGGGGGAACCCUGAUCCAGCCAUGCCGCGUGUGUGAAGAAGGCCUUUUGGUUGUAAAGCACUUUAAGCGAGGAGGAGGCUACCGAGAUUAAUACUCUUGGAUAGUGGACGUUACUCGCAGAAUAAGCACCGGCUAACUCUGUGCCAGCAGCCGCGGUAAUACAGAGGGUGCAAGCGUUAAUCGGAUUUACUGGGCGUAAAGCGCGCGUAGGUGGCCAAUUAAGUCAAAUGUGAAAUCGCCGAGAUUAACUUGGGAAGUGCAUUCGAUACUGGUUGGCUAGAGUAUGGGAGAGGAUGGUAGAAUUCCAGGUGUAGCGGUGAAAUGCGUAGAGAUCUGGAGGAAUACCGAUGGCGAAGGCAGCCAUCUGGCCUAAUACUGACACUGAGGUGCGAAAGCAUGGGGAGCAAACAGGAUUAGAAACCCCGGUAGUCC
rnacentral:rRNA from 1 species